GACGAACGCUGGCGGCGUGCUUAACACAUGCAAGUCGAACGGUAAGGCCCUUCGGGGUACACGAGUGGCGAACGGGUGAGUAACACGUGGGUGAUCUGCCCUGCACUUCGGGAUAAGCCUGGGAAACUGGGUCUAAUACCGGAUAGGACCACUGCCUGCAUGGGUGGUGGGGGAAAGCUUUUGCGGUGUGGGAUGGGCCCGCGGCCUAUCAGCUUGUUGGUGGGGUGAUGGCCUACAAAGGCGACGACGGGUAGCCGGCCUGAGAGGGUGACCGGCCACACUGGGACUGAGAUACGGCCCAGACUCCUACGGGAGGCAGCAGUGGGGAAUAUUGCACAAUGGGCGCAAGCCUGAUGCAGCGACGCCGCGUGAGGGAUGACGGCCUUCGAGUUGUAAACCUCUUUCAGCACCGACGAAGCGCAAGUGACGGUAGGUGCAGAAGAAGGACCGGCCAACUACGUGCCAGCCGCCGCCGUAA
rnacentral:rRNA from 1 species